rnacentral:rRNA from 1 species
UACGUAGGUGGCAAGCGUUUGUCCGGAUUUACUGGGCGUAAAGAGCGCGCAGGCGGUCGUUCAAGUCGCGUGUGAAAGCCCCCGGCUCAACUGGGGAGGGUCACGCGAUACUGAUCGACUCGAAGGCAGGAGAGGGAAGUGGAAUUCCCGGUGUAGUGGUGAAAUGCGUAGAUAUCGGGAGGAACACCGGUGGCGAAGGCGGUUCUCUGGGCAUUACCUGACGCUGAGGAGCGAAAGUGUGGGGAGCGAACAGG